AACGAACGCUGGCGGCAUGCCUAACACAUGCAAGUCGAACGAGACCUUCGGGUCUAGUGGCGCACGGGUGCGUAACGCGUGGGAACCUGCCCUUAGGUUCGGAAUAACUCCCCGAAAGGGGUGCUAAUACCGGAUAAUGUCUUCGGACCAAAGAUUUAUCGCCUUUGGAUGGACCCGCGUUGGAUUAGCUAGUUGGUAGGGUAAAAGCCUACCAAGGCGACGAUCCAUAGCUGGUCUGAGAGGAUGAUCAGCCACACUGGGACUAAGACACGGCCCAGACUCCUACGGGAGGCAGCAGUGGGGGAUAUUGGACAAUGGGCGGAAGCAUGAUGCAGCAAGGACGGGUGAGUGAUGAAGGCCUUAGGGUUGUAAAGCUCUUUUAACCGGGAUGAUAAUGACGGUACCGGGAGAAUAAGCUCCGGCUAACUCCGUG
rnacentral:rRNA from 1 species